rnacentral:rRNA from 1 species
GGAGGAAAAGAAACCAACAGGGAUUGCUCUAGUAACGGCGAGUGAAGCAGCAAUAGCUCAAAUUUGAAAUCUGGCGUCUUCGACGUCCGAGUUGUAAUUUGUAGAGGAUGCUUCUGAGUGGCCACCGACCUAAGUUCCUUGGAACAGGACGUCAUAGAGGGUGAGAAUCCCGUAUGCGGUCGGAAAGGCGCUCUAUACGUAGCUCCUUCGACGAGUCGAGUUGUUUGGGAAUGCAGCUCUAAAUGGGAGGUAAAUUUCUUCUAAAGCUAAAUAUUGGCCAGAGACCGAUAGCGCACAAGUAGAGUGAUCGAAAGAUGAAAAGCACUUUGGAAAGAGAGUUAAAAAGCACGUGAAAUUGUUAAAAGGGAAGGGAUUGCAACCAGACUUGCUCGCGGUGUUCCGCCGGUCUUCUGACCGGUCUACUCGCCGCGUUGCAGGCCAGCAUCGUCUGGUGCCGCUGGAUAAGACUUGAGGAAUGUAGCUCCCUCGGGAGUGUUAUAGCCUCUUGUGAUGCAGCGAGCGCCGGGCGAGGUCCGCGCUUCGGCUAGGAUGCUGGCGUAAUGGUCGUAAUCCGCCCGUCUUGAAACACGGACCAAGGAGUCUAACAUCUAUGCGAGUGUUCGGGUGUCAAACCCCUACGCGUAAUGAAAGUGAACGGAGGUGAGAACCGCAAGGUGCAUCAUCGACCGAUCCUGAUGUCUUCGGAUGGAUUUGAGUAAGAGCAUAGCUGUUGGGACCCGAAAGAUGGUGAACUAUGCCUGAAUAGGGUGAAGCCAGAGGAAACUCUGGUGGAGGCUCGCAGCGGUUCUGACGUGCAAAUCGAUCGUCAAAUUUGGGUAUAGGG